UACGAGGGGGCUCAUGUUGCAGCAUGUCGGGGACGAUAACGGCGUCGAGCGGCGGACGGGUGAGUAAUGCCUAGGAAAUUGCCCUGAUGUGGGGGAUAACCAUUGGAAACGAUGGCUAAUACCGCAUAAUGCCUACGGGCCAAAGAGGGGGACCUUCGGGCCUCUCGCGUCAGGAUAUGCCUAGGUGGGAUUAGCUAGUUGGUGAGGUAAGGGCUCACCAAGGCGACGAUCCCUAGCUGGUCUGAGAGGAUGAUCAGCCACACUGGAACUGAGACACGGUCCAGACUCCUACGGGAGGCAGCAGUGGGGAAUAUUGCACAAUGGGCGCAAGCCUGAUGCAGCCAUGCCGCGUGUGUGAAGAAGGCCUUCGGGUUGUAAAGCACUUUCAGUCGUGAGGAAGGUAGUGUAGUUAAUAGCUGCAUUAUUUGACGUUAGCGACAAAGAAGCACCGGCUAACUCCGUGCCAGCAGCCGCGGUAAUACGGAGGGUGCGAGCGUUAAUCGGAAUUACUGGGCGUAAAGCGCAUGCAGGUGGUUUGUUAAGUCAGAUGUGAAAGCCCGGGGCUCAACCUCGGAAUUGCAUUUGAAACUGGCAGACUAGAGUACUGUAGAGGGGGGUAGAAUUUCAGGUGUAGCGGUGAAAUGCGUAGAGAUCUGAAGGAAUACCGGUGGCGAAGGCGGCCCCCUGGACAGAUACUGACACUCAGAUGCGAAAGCGUGGGGAGCAAACAGGAUUAGAUACCCUGGUAGUCCACGCCGUAACGAUGUCUACUUGGAGGUUGUGGCCUUGAGCCGUGGCUUUCGGAGCUAACGCGUUAAGUAGACCGCCUGGGGAGUACGGUCGCAAGAUUAAAACUCAAAUGAAUUGACGGGGGCCCGCACAAGCGGUGGAGCAUGUGGUUUAAUUCGAUGCAACGCGAAGAACCUUACCUACUCUUGACAUCCAGAGAACUUUCCAGAGAUGGAUUGGUGCCUUCGGGAACUCUGAAACAGGUGCUGCAUGGCUGUCGUCAGCUCGUGUUGUGAAAUGUUGGGGUUAAGUCCCGCAACGAGCGCAACCCUUAUCCUUGUUUGCCAGCGAUAAUGUCGGGAACUCCAGGGAAGACUGCCGGUGAUAAACCCGGAGGAAGGUGGGGGACGACGUCCAGUCAUCCUGGGCCUUUCCAAAUAAGGGCUACCACCAUUGCUACAAUGGGCGCAUUCCCAAGAC
rnacentral:rRNA from 1 species